rnacentral:rRNA from 1 species
AACGAACGCUGGCGGCAGGCCUAACACAUGCAAGUCGAGCGAGGACUUCGGUCCUAGCGGCGGACGGGUGAGUAACGCGUGGGAACGUGCCCUUUGGUUCGGAAUAGCCCCGGGAAACUGGGAGUAAUACCGGAUAAGCCCUACGGGGGAAAGAUUUAUCGCCAAAGGAUCGGCCCGCGUUGGAUUAGGUAGGUGGUGGGGUAAUGGCCUACCAAGCCGACGAUCCAUAGCUGGUUUGAGAGGAUGAUCAGCCACACUGGGACUGAGACACGGCCCAGACUCCUACGGGAGGCAGCAGUGGGGAAUCUUAGACAAUGGGGGAGACCCUGAUCUAGCCAUGCCGCGUGAGCGAUGAAGGCCUUAGGGUUGUAAAGCUCUUUCAGUGGGGAAGAUAAUGACGGUAGUGGGAGAAGAAGCCCCGGCUAACUUCGUGCCAGCAGCCGCCGCGGUAA